UAAAAGUCAAACUCUUUGUUUUUGUUUCACAGACAAUUGUGGCUAUUAAUAAAGACCCAGAAGCUCCAAUUUUCCAAGUGGCAGAUUAUGGAAUAGUUGCAGAUUUAUUUAAGGUAGUUCCUGAAAUGACUGAGAUAUUGAAGAAAAAAUGAAUCAUGAUCACAUCUUGAGAAGAAAAACUAUGUCAGAGUAUUCAGCUGGAAUCAUGGAACUUCAUGGAUGUCAUAACAAUCAUUGGAAAG